GACGAACGCUGGCGGCGUGCCUAAUACAUGCAAGUUGAGCGCUGAAGGUUGGGACUUGUACCAACUGGGUGAGCAGCGAACGGGUGAGUAACGCGUGGGGAAUCUGCCUUUGAGCGGGGGACAACAUUCGGAAACGAAUGCUAAUACCGCAUAAAAACUUUAAACACAAGUUUUAAGUUUGAAAGAUGCAAUUGCAUCACUCAAAGAUGAUCCCGCGUUGUAUUAGCUAGUUGGUGAGGUAAAGGCUCACCAAGGCGAUGAUACAUAGCCGACCUGAUAGGGUGAUCGGCCACAUUCGGACUGAGACACGGCCCCAACCCAUACGGCAAGCAGCAGUAGGGAAUCUUCGGCUAUGGAAGUGAGUCUGACCGAGAAACGCCGAGUGAGUGAAGAAGGUUUUCGGAUCGUAAAAUGCUGUUGGUAGAGAAGAACGUUGGUGGGAGUGGAAAGCUCAUCAAGUGACGGUACCUCCCCAGAAAGGGACGGCUAACUACGUG
rnacentral:rRNA from 1 species